CUAGUAUAACCAAUAUAUACACUAAAAUUACAAGACUUAUUACCAAAAGCAAGUGCCAUAUCGCCUACAAUUAUUACACAAUGAAAAAAAACUCUAGCUAUAAAGCGUAGUAAUUGUUAGCUCCUCAUUAUCUUUGUCCUCAAGUAAGUUAAGGUUGAGCCUUUUAACUUCAUUUUGCAAGAAAAGUAUCCAAACCCCUUCAAUACUGCAAGAAAAAUAUCAAACCCUAAUUUUACAAACAUGAAUAACAGAAGAUUAACUAACAAAACUUAAAUUAAGAAAACAGUUCAACAAAAUGAGAGAGAACUAAAUAUAACAAUCACCAAAAUUAAUGAAAUGUUCACACUAUAUUAAAAUUCUCAUCUUCAUGCUCAAGGUAUGAUGCCAUGCUACCAAGUGCAUAUAAAUUAAUUCCAAAUGCGUCCAUGAGAAUAGCAGUACUUGUGAACAAUAUAGAUUAUGAUGCAAAGAUAAAUUCUCAUCACAAUAUAGAUUAUGAUGCAAAGAUAAAUUCCCAAUACACAAGAUGGUCUCUGCACCCCUUUGCAGAGAAAUAUGUUAAGACUGAAAACUUGCUUGACCACUGAUUGCUUUUCCAGUUUUGAACUCUAGAGGCAUGAUCUUCUCAUUAGAUUCAUUAGCGUUUGAAUCCUGCAAGCUGAAAACAUCAGCCUCAAACUCAAAGCAAUUUAAUAUGGAUAGAACUAGAGGUGUAAUACUUAUUUUGGAUAUAAAGCAUUUUGCAGGCUCGUAUUAAAACAAUACAAAAAAUGUGAUAUGAUUUUAGAGAUGAAAGCAGGUGCCGCUUCAAAUUAGCAAGUAUCAACAAGACAAAAUAAAGGCAAAAUAUGUGAGCAUCUUCAUUUAGAUAAAUGUGAUCCACAUUAUGAACUUAUAGUACAGAUACUGUUAUGAUGCAUGUCCAACAAAUAUGUACACAAAUUUGAUUUACUUUUAAUGUUAUAUAAAGAUCAAUUAAGGGUAUAGAAAUUAAUCAGGUUACUCACACAAUCCAUCUAUUUGCAUCAGUAUUUGGACAUAUUAGUUUGCUUAAAACAGUUUUAUCUUUUAAAGAAUGUUUGCUUAAGACUGACAAUGAAAAGCAAUCUCAAAUUAAAAAUUAAGCUAGAGUUAACCCACGACAUUCUACACCUAUAAAUACAUUAUUACAUCAUCUAGCAAUUUAUAAGAAUAUUAAAAGCAUAAAGUGAUUCUGUAGUGAUUAUUUAACAAGAAGGGAGUUCAGGUCCAACAGCUAAAAUCCCAUACACUCCGUAUUAAGUUCAAAUUAAAGACUGACAAUUUGGUUCUACUUUUAACACCAAAUAUAGUUCCCCAGAUGUCAUGGUUCAGCUGAAAUUACUCGUAAAAUAAAUCUAUCAAUCUCCAAUUAUUGAACCUUGAACAGAAAUUAGUAGGACACAUAUUUUAUGUUACAGUUCAAGUAAAUCAAGUUCUUCCAACAAGAAAUUACAAGGCAAUUCAAGUUUAGACUGUAUCAAAAGGAAAAUCGACGGAUUGAUCACCUAAUAGGGUCACAUUACUCUGAACUUAGGACUUUCAAUGGCUUUUGAACUGAAAAUGUAUAUGUUUUCCCAGUCCCACUUUGCAUUCCACUCCAUUGUUAGAAAUGAAUUAUGAAAAGAUUAAUUCAAUCUACAUCAAAUGCAGAACGUGUAUAAGAUUUGCAACUAGUGAAAUGGGAAUAACUUAAAAUAUGCAUAAUUGGACUGGUAUCAAAGUAUCGUUUAAAGAAAAGAGUAGAAAUAUUUCCCAGACAAGAGAAGGAGCUAAAACUUGUAAAAUAUAAUAAGAAAAAAACUGAUAUUAAAAGCAGCAGAAGCAUGAAUAUGAAAUUAACAUCGUCUUCACAGGAACAAGUACCUGAUGACUCAAUACAUGAAAUGGUAGCACAUCUCUAUUUCAGAAUUUGGAUAUACUACAGAUAGUAAAUCAAUAUACUCCCAAUCAAAAAACACAAUAUCAUUUCUAUCGUCUUAUAUGUUUUGCUACUUGUGAACAAUAUAGCAAAAGAUUGUGAAGGCACAAGGAUGAGAGGUAUAAUAACAUGUCCCAUAGGCCAUUGCCCUUGGAGCUUGACCAAAUUGCAUAAGAAUAAAAAGGGGGGAAUAAAGAAGAGAAUAAAUAAUAAACCUAGUCUAUGCAAUUAAUUAACAUCUAAGGUCAAUGGAUCAUUGAUCUAAAGCCACACCCUACAACGCUUUUGCUAUUCAUAAACUAAUAAAGUUGGUUGGUGCUAUAUAUAAAAUGGAAAUUAGUUUCUUUUUCAUUGAUGAUACAAUCUUCAAUUUGGCACACCAUUCCAAUAUAUAAGCUUUUACGUACAAGAUAAACGGAAUCAUUUCAAUCUAUGUUUCAUGAUACCUUCAAAAUCAUUCAUGUCAUUUCUACAAUGUAACAAAUCAAUUUUUCAGAAAAUUUAGGACAUGCUAUCAAAUGUUGCAUGAAUUAGAACUUUCUAUAUUCUAUCAAAUAUAUUAAUAUAGCAAUUUAUUGACGGAAUGCUCAUUACUGUAUAUGUAAGGUGCAAUAUUUUACUAGGCAGAAUUAAAAUAAGAAUUGAUGGAGUAAAUUGUACACUAGCAAGACACAACUACUGAUGAUGAAAGGUAAAUAAUAAAUAGCAAAAUGUACCAUAUCCUUCAGCAUCUUUGUUGAUGAACCUCAUCAGAUGAUCUGUAGUAGCUAAAUUAACAUCACUGAAAUAAUAUUCCACUUGAAAAUUGUUUAAAUUCACGAUAAAUCAAGAACUCCGCAUUCAUUUCUGCCUAUACGGGGCAACAAUACAAAUAAGAAUGUUUUCCUUAUCUUCAACACUUGUAUACUGUAUGAAGAUAAGGGACAACGUUCAUGUUAUAUAACUAAAUUUACUUUUGGCUUUAAAUGCAUGCAGAGGACCAAAUAAUAACCGUUUUAAAUAUACAAAGAAAAAUUUGCUUCCUUUCCCUCUCCAUCUUGGCCCUUUUUUUUUCUUUUUUUCUUUUUUUUUUGGGGGAGGGGGGGAACUCUCUGAAUAGACUAAAGUGCUUGAAGUGACCUAUGUGCCACUUGCCUAAGCAAUCAUAAGUAAAUUACCUAUAAUGGAUUCAGACAUACAACACAACAUGGGGUUGGUCUGGUUGGGUUAUUUCUUAGAUACUUUGUCUGGUCAACAUUUAAACAGUCUAAUGAAGAAUGGUUAACAUACUUAUCUAAGAAGGAUGCGAAAGGAAUAAUAACUCAUGGGUGACUAAUUCUUUUACCCAAACUUUAUAAUAAAGAAAAGUUUGUGCGGAGUAACAAUCUAGAACAUGUAUCAUGCUCAAUACUAGUUUAAGAAAGCAUGAACUGCAUGUUAAAAUAUCCAUUAAUUUAAAUAUGAAUGAUAAAAUCUAUGCAUAAAAGCUAUAUUUUGUUUAAAAUAAAAGAAAAAAUGAAAUUAAAAAAAAAGCAACAACCAAACAUACCAGGAACAUCCGUAAUUAUAAAGAUUAUAUUAUUAAUUUCUCAAAUGUUAUCCUUAUUUAUAGCAUUGUAUAAAAUUAUCUUGUUUCUAUACAAACAAGUGGUGUAAAUUAAAAUAAAAACACAAAAAGAUAAGUAAGGAAUUUAAAUUAUUUAAAGUUUUAUUAAUAUAUACAAACUGAACAAUUUCUUUCUUAUAAUAACUAAUAGAGGAAGUUUGGGUAAAAUACAAAUUGUUCAAUUUCUUUACCAGCGGCAUACACAUGAUCACUCAUACUACUAUCCAAAGGUAGAGAUAUAUAAGAGCUGCAAAUAAAAUACAGCACUAAAAAGCCUUAGAUCAACAUAAUAUAAGCAUGCAUCCAUAGUUUUUUAAACAAAUAAAGAUAAACAAUAAAAAGAAUUUAGCACUAAGAAAGUAACAUUACAGAAAUAUAAAAGUAUAGCCACAAUUAAAAUGGAAUUUUAAAAAGGAAAGGGCAUCCAUGCCUGAUUUAUAAUUUUCUGAGUAGCUUCCUCCGCAAGACCAUUAAUAAUCUGAAUCAACGACACCUUAUUUUUGAGCUUGACUAAGCUGUUGCUGCUGCUGUUGUUGAUGAUGGUGAUGAAAAUGAACCGGCACGUGAUGAGAAUAAGGACGAUGGCUCUGCACCGGCAUCCUCACGUGACCCUGAAUCGGUUGAGCAUUAAAGAAUCCACUGCCAUGAUUAAGAUGCGGCGGUUGGUGGUACAGAAUCGCCUGUGGCUGAGUUGGAUCGGUUGAGCUACUGUUGCUGCUCCGAGGUACGAACUCAGGUGCCUUAGCGUUCAGUCGACUCGACGAUAGAUUCCGGGAGAGUGACGGAUCAGAAGAACUAGAAGAGCUCUGCGAUUGAGGACGAUCAUCAGAUGGUAAAUCCGAUGAUAAGUCCUAAGCCAUUUUUACUUAUCUGGAUUCAUCAAAAUCAAAAUUAGGGCUUUACUUCCGUUUUUGUUGAAUUUGCAGGUGGAUCUGAUCUAGGGUUAAGGAAAUUGGGGGUGUUUUCUUCUUUCUACUUCUUCUUCCCAGUGAGUGAGGAGAGAUGCUAUCUACCUUAGAAUACCAUUAUUACAAUUAUACCCCUAAUAAUCCUAUAUUUACU
rnacentral:lncRNA from 1 species